rnacentral:lncRNA from 1 species
AUCAUGAAAAAAAACAUACUAAGCAUUAUUAAUCUGCUAGCAAAGGAAAGUUAAACAUAACGACAUGAACUGAAUUAACCAGUGCACACGACUAGGAAAAAACAAACAUCAAUUGUCAUCGAGUUUUUAAUUAAAUCAUGGCUGCAACUGGGCAUCGUUAUUAUAAUAGUGAAGGUGAACGUGCUGCUACUUCCCUCAUUCCCAACAUGAAUCAAGUACCUGCAUUGAGUAAUGCAAGAGUGAGAUGAUACAUCUCAGCAAGCAAAUUGUUUUGACGAGAUAUUUAAACCACAAAUUGAAUUAAACAACAUUUUAAAGGAAUCACAAUUGAGAUAAAAAAUACUUGUAGAUAUAGAACUCAAUAGUCCCAAUAUAACCAAUACCAUCUCAUUUCCUCGAACAACCACAAUAGGUUGUAUAACCCUUCCCUGCGUCAACAAUACCUGCAGAUAUCACUUCAAUGUAUGCAUAGGAAUGCAAUGUGUAGGUCAUCUGCCCUCAUACCUCUGAGAGUAUAAAACCACAUCAUCUGCUAAUAUCACUUCAAUGAAUGCAUAUAAAUGCAAUGCAUAUGUCCUCUGCCUUCAUACCUCUAAGGGUAUGAAGCCGCAUCGUACCCCUCCUCGGGCAACGUACGAUGCUAAGUUGUACCGGUACGGUCAGACCAUAGGUCACGACCAAACUUCAGAUGCAAAUGAAUCAUGUAAUGCAUAUGGCAUGCUGCAUUUAUCAAUACACUUCACUUCCUUCAGAUACAAAACAAACCUCAAAUAAUACUUCAUCUGCCUUCAGAUACGAUACAAACCUCAAAUAAUAUUUUAUCUGCCUUCACGGGUGUAAAUUAAUCUCAUGGGUCAUACUCGAACCAUAAUCAUCAUCAAUAUAUGAUUGAGCAUCAGUAUAAUACAAUCAAGUAAAGCAUCACUAUAGAGUUCAAUUAUGAAAGAAUUCCAUAAUUCUGAAUAUUAGAGUGUAGGCGAUAAAAAAACAACAAGUCAAAACGGUAGAAACCACUGCUACAUUCACUUGCCUUCAUCGAGGAAGAAAGAUGUACGAGGCAUGAUCCGGAGUGUAGCCACCUGCUAGCGGGCAUAAAACUUAGUACAAAUAUUUCACAAACAUUUGCCAACAAUCAACAAAUCGCUCCUACACUUGAAACCAAGACCCAGUGGAAAGACUCCCACCCUGAACCACAUGCCAAACAGCAGCAACACUGUUUGUUAAUUUUGUAUCUUUAAAAUUAUAACAGUGGUGAUAUUAAACAAAUACUCUAGGAGUGUAUACACAAAAUACUCUACAACUUCAGUAUUCAAUGGAUAAUUAAAUUCUGCCAUCUAUAAGUUCUAAAACAUCUGAUAAGAUAAAUGACUGAAUCUGUUUCAGACAGCAGCAUAGUUAACUUCAAAAUUCAAUAUCUACCAAACUACUCAACCAAAAAUUAUGAAAUUCUGCUGGCAGUAAGAACUUUUAUCCCUCUACAAAUGUCUCCAUAGUUGGAACAGCCAAUUCGGCUAUUUACUAUAUGAAACCCACCAGUGAACAGACCCGCUCAUUUUUGUCAGGCAAACAGGAACAACCACAGUAAAACAAACAUAACUAGAGUUUCAUAAUUCAUAUGAAUGCGCUCUUUAACAAUCUGGAAAGCUUAUAAAAUUGUCUACAACUUCUUUUACAAUCCUAAAGUUUAAUUCUGUAGAUAAAAUUGCCUAAAUCUUAAGAGAACAGAUUCUGCACAGAAUUAUGAGACUGAAAAAACUGCUAUAAUCAAACUGCAAUAACUUUGUGAUCUGAUGUCCGAUUGAGGUGUUCUUCGCGGCCACGGAAAGAUAUACAAAUUAUCUACGACUCAUAGACAGACGUUUUAUUUUUUUGACGCCACUAAGAUCACGGAAAACUGGCAUGAACAGAAACUGUUGAAUCUGCCAUCCUGCAGAAACUAAUUUCGAGAUCAAAAAUCUAAUCUCCCAUCUAAUCCAACCAAAAAAACUAAUUGCAGGGCCUAAAACUCAUCCAAAACAAGAGAAAGCAUUCAUCAAGUGGAGAAAAGAGAGAGAGGAAAGGAAAUCCAACCAAUUCUUGGAGAGGAACGAUGAUGAUGAGCGACGGUAUGCCCUCAUCUCCCCUCUCUUCUCUUCUUUUUUCUUCCUCUCAUCUCUUGGGGCAAGGCAUAAAAGGGUGACGG